rnacentral:rRNA from 1 species
CCUACGGGAGGCAGCAGUGAGGAAUAUUGGUCAAUGGUCGGGAGACUGAACCAGCCAAGCCGCGUGAGGGAUGAAGGUACAGAGUAUCGUAAACCUCUUUUGUCAGGGAACAAAGGCGGGGACGUGUCCCCGGAUGAGUGUACCUGAAGAAAAAGCAUCGGCUAACUCCGUGCCAGCAGCCGCGGUAAUACGGAGGAUGCGAGCGUUAUCCGGAUUGAUUGGGUUUAAAGGGUGCGCAGGCGGUCUGUUAAGUCAGCGGUGAAAGCCCGGGGCUCAACCCCGGCCCGCCGUUGAAACUGGCAGUCUCGAGUUGGAGAGAAGUAUGCGGAAUGCGCGGUGUAGCGGUGAAAUGCAUAGAUAUCGCGCAGAACUCCGAUGGCGAAGGCAGCAUGCCGGCUCCACACUGACGCUGAGGCACGAAAGCGUGGGUAUCGAACAGGAUUAGAUACCCCUGUAGUC